GGAACGCAGACCUUACCACAAAAUAAAGAAAACGCUAAUGAAAUCAACGAACAGGAGCAAGGAAUAGCCGAACCAGAUUCGUAUAUAAGAAGCUCAGAAAUCAGUCAGAGUGGAGAUAUCUUAUUAGAAAGAAAUGUCGAAACCGUCGAUAAAGAAAUGGAGCAACAAGAAAAGUAAGUAAUGU